UACGUAGGUGGCAAGCGUUGUCCGGAAUUACUGGGCGUAAAGCGCACGUAGGCGGCUCUUUAAGUCGGGGGUGAAAUCCUGGAGCUCAACUCCAGAACUGCCUUCGAUACUGUAGAGCUUGAGUUCGGGAGAGGUGAGUGGAACUGCGAGUGUAGAGGUGAAAUUCGUAGAUAUUCGCAGGAACACCAGUGGCGAAGGCGGCUCACUGGCCCGAUACUGACGCUGAGGUGCGAAAGCGUGGGGAGCAAACAGG
rnacentral:rRNA from 1 species